rnacentral:tRNA from 1 species
GAGGGUAUAGCUCAGUGGUAGAGCACUUGCUUAACACAUAUGAGGUCCUGGGAUCAAUCCCCAGUCCCUCCA